rnacentral:lncRNA from 1 species
CCACCAAGGAGGGGAAAGAAAUCCAGCCUUCCAUUUAAGACAGUACUAGGUGGAAAAAGAAUUCUCUACAAAAUAAAGAGCCUACUAUUUUCCUAGCAAACACUGUGACCCCUUUCAAAUAGCCUUUUGAAGUCUCAUAACCAUGGGGCCACCUUCCCUUCCCCUCCUGGGCAUCGGGACUUCUGUUCCCUGUUUACCCACCCCACAAGGCUCCCGCUUCCCUGCUGGUCACCAGGCUCCUGUGAGAGAGGGCAGCUUUGUCACGCUGCAGGCAGGGACCAAGAACAAGGGGAUGUCGUCUACAAGACCUACCUCCCUCCUACAGUGCCAUUCUUACUUUCAAGUCAGAUGUGUGAUUUAUUUUCACAAUAACCCCAGAUACCAAAAUAACAAGUACAAGUGGCAAUGGUGACUCCCAGCAACUCAGGAGACUGAGGCAGGAGCCUCACAGAUUCAAGGCCAACCUGGGCAACUGGAGGAGACCCUGUCUCAAAAUUUUUAAAAAAUGGGGGCUGGGGUUGCGGCUCAGGGGUAGAGUGCUCGCCUAGCAUGUGUGAGGCACUGGGUUCAAUCCUCAGCACCACAUAAAAAUAAAUAAAGGCAUUGUGUCUAUCGAGAACUAAAAAACUUAUUAAAAAACAAAAAGGUAGAGUUCCCCUGGGCUCAGUUUCCAGUAACAAAAUGAAAAUAAGUACAAGUCAAAACCCAAACACAGGCUGGGUGCAGUGGUACACGCCUGUAAUCCCAGGGGCUAGGGAGGCUGAGGCAGGAGGAUCACAAGUCCAAAGCCAGCCUCAGCAAAAGUGAGGUGCUAAGCAACUCAGGGAGACCCUAUCUCUAAAUAGAAUACAAAAUCGGGUUGGGGAUGUGGAUCAGUGGCCAAGUGCCCCUGCCUUUGAGCCCCAGUACCCCCCGCCCUGCCAAAAAGACCCAGACACAGUAAAGAGGAACUGAAGGCAAUCCAGGAAAGGGGUGGUCUCCAAAGCAACCUGAGGAAGAAAACAGACGACUUCCAAAG